CCUACGGGUGGCUGCAGUGAGGAAUAUUGGUCAAUGGACGGAAGACUGAACCAGCCAAGCCGCGUGCGGGAAGAAGGCACUGUGAAUUGUAAACUUCUUUUGUAAGGGGGUAAAGCUGGAGACGUGUAUUCAGAUGAGAGUACUGUACGAAUAAGGAUCGGCUAACUCCGUGCCAGCAGCCGCGGUAAUACGGAGGAUGCAAGCGUUAUCCGGAUUUAUUGGGUUUAAAGGGUGCGUAGGCGGAUUGAUAAGUUAGUGGUGAAAUGUCGGGGCUUAACUCGGGAACUGCCUUUGAUACUGGUGAUCGAGAGUUUAGAUGCGGUAGGCGGAAUGUAUGGUGUAGCGGUGAAAUGCUUAGAGAUCAGACAGAACACCGAUUGCGAAGGCAGCUUACCA
rnacentral:rRNA from 1 species